rnacentral:rRNA from 1 species
UGGGGAAUAUUGCGCAAUGGGGGAAACCCUGACGCAGCGACGCCACGUGCGGGAUGAAGGCCUGCGGGUUGUAAACUGCUUUAGAUUGGGAGCAAGCCUUUUGGGUGAGUGUACCUUUCGAAUAAGCGCCGGCUAAAUACGUGCCAGCAGCCGCGGUAAUACGUAGGGCGCAAGCGUUAUCCGGAAUUAUUGGGCGUAAAGAGCUUGUAGGCGGUUCGUCGCGUCUGGUGUGAAAGCCCAUCGCUUAACGGUGGGUUUGCGCCGGGUACGGGCGGGCUAGAGUGCAGUAGGGGAGACUGGAAUUCCCGGUGUAACGGUGGAAUGUGUAGAUAUCGGGAAGAACACCAAUGGCGAAGGCAGGUCUCUGGGCUGUUACUGACGCUGAGAAGCGAAAGCGUGGGGAGCGAACAGG